AGUGAACGCUGGCGGUAGGCCUAACACAUACAAGUCGAACGGCAGCACAGAGGAGCUUGCUCCUUGGGUGGCGAGUGGCGGACGGGUGAGGAAUACAUCGGAAUCUACUCUGUCGUGGGGGAUAACGUAGGGAGACUUACGCUAAUACCGCAUACGACCUACGGGUGAAAGCAGGGGAUCUUCGGACCUUGCGCGAUUGAAUUAGCCGAUGUCGGAUUAGCUAGUUGGCGGGGUAAAGGCCCACCAAGGCGACGAUCCGUAGCUGGUCUGAGAGGAUGAUCAGCCACACUGGAACUGAGACACGGUCCAGACUCCUACGGGAGGCAGCAGUGGGGAAUAUUGGACAAUGGGCGCAAGCCUGAUCCAGCCAUACCGCGUGGGUGAAGAAGGCCUUCGGGUUGUAAAGCCCUUUUGUUGGGAAAGAAAUCCAUCUGGUUAAUACCCGGGUGGGAUGACGGUACCCAAAGAAUAAGCACCGGCUAACUUCGUGCCAGCAGCCGCCGUAA
rnacentral:rRNA from 1 species